rnacentral:lncRNA from 1 species
CGAGGAUUAUCGGAUUUAUCCUAUCACGAUAGUUGAAUUAUCAAUUUUAAAGUCCUCGCCGAGGUUCGGACUUUAAAAUAGAUAAUUAUAAUUUAACUAUCUCGAUUGGAUAAAUCUGAUAAUCCACUAGUAUCAAUGUAAUAAUCAAUAUAUAAAUGCUUGUUUAAGACUAAGAUAAGAACAAUACCAGAAAAUUUAUAAAACAAUGUUUACCCUAAAAUAAUUCAGAUUUAGGUACAGAGGUUGGUCAUAACUUUACAGCGUCACUCUUAUCUUCAUUAAAAGGAGGCGAAAGAUACCAAUUUAAAUCAAAUCAUUUUAUUGGUGUAAAAUCCAAAUUUUGGAUUGUUACCAAGACAAACAUGACAAUCAUAACAAACAUAUAAUAUUUAAAUUUAAACAACAUUCAUAUUCUAUGAGACUAUAUUUAGAUGUUUUGGAGGAGGUG